rnacentral:rRNA from 1 species
GACGAACGCUGGCGGCGUGCUUAACACAUGCAAGUCGAACGGAAAGGCCCUGCUUUUGUGGGGUGCUCGAGUGGCGAACGGGUGAGUAACACGUGAGUAACCUGCCCUUGACUUUGGGAUAACUUCAGGAAACUGGGGCGAAUACCGGAUAGGAGCUCCUGCUGCAUGGUGGGGGUUGGAAAGUUUCGGCGGUUGGGGAUGGACUCGCGGCUUAUCAGCUUGUUGGUGGGGUAGUGGCUUACCAAGGCUUUGACGGGUAGCCGGCCUGAGAGGGUGACCGGCCACAUUGGGCCUGCGAUACGGCCCAGCCUCCUACGUGGGGCAGCAGUGGGGAAUAUUGCACACUGGGCGGAAGCCUCAUGCAGCAACGCCGCGUGCCGGAUGACGGCCUUCGGUUUGUAAACCGCUUUCGCCUGUGACGAAGCGUGCGUGACGGUAAUGGGUAAAGAAGCACCGGCUAACUCCGUG